rnacentral:rRNA from 1 species
ACGGAAGGCAGCAGUGGGGAAUAUUGGGCAAUGGGCGAAAGACUGACCCAGCAACGCCGCGUGAAGGAAGAAGGCCUUCGGGUUGUAAACUUCUUUUAUCAGGGACGAAGAAAGCGACGGUACCUGAUGAAUAAGCCACGGCUAACUACGUGCCAGCAGCCGCGGUAAUACGUAGGUGGCGAGCGUUAUCCGGAUUUACUGGGUGUAAAGGGCGCGUAGGCGGGGAUGCAAGUCAGAUGUGAAAUCUAUGGGCUCAACUCAUAAACUGCAUUUGAAACUGUAUCUCUUGAGUGUCGGAGAGGUAGACGCAAUUCCUAUUGUAGCGGUGAAAUGCGUAGAUAUUAGGAGGAACACCAGUGGCGAAGUCGGUCUACUGGACGAUAACUGACGCUGAGGCGCGAAAGCGUGGGGAGCAAACAGUAUUAGAUACCCU